AUUCCAUGAUGAGGACACUUUUGUAAUAAUUAUUUGUACCAUUCCCACGCCUCAUACAAGGACUCAUCAUCCAUUUGUUGGAAAGUACUGAUUUCAUUCCUCAACUU
rfam:Gossypium arboreum cultivar AKA8401 contig_20478_9, whole genome shotgun sequence.